GACACGUUGAUGCGAAUUACGGCUGUUGCUCUGAACUGUUGCGAGGCAGAGCACAUACUCUACGUGCUCAGCACAAUAUGGAAGAUAGCCCUCUGAUGCCCAUGACUACCUUCAGAUUUGUUAUAACCCCCUUAUUUUAAAGGAAGACCAGCCCUGAGCUAACAUCUGCCGCCAAUCCUCCUCUUUCUGCUGAGGAAGACUGGCCCUGAGCUAACAUCCAUGCCCAUCCUCCUCUACCUUAUAUGUGGGAUGCCGGACACAGCUGUGCCAUGUCCGAACCUGGGAUCUGAACCAGCGAACCCCAGGCCGCUGAAGCAGAACGUGCGCACUUAACCGCUGCGUCACCGGGCCAGCCCCUUAGCAUGCUAUUUUAUUUGUGUACAAGGAGGAUAAACAGACAGGUUGAUUCUAAGAAAAACAAGAACAGGAUUUAUUUAAGGAAAAUGAGAAAAAGUCAAGAAAAAAAUACGGUUUAGGACAAAUGAGCUUUGUUUUCCUUUUCUUAGGUCAGUGCUGAUUAGAGGCAACUAGCAACAACCUGAGUUGUUUAUGGAUUCUCUAGAAAACCUUGAGAGGUUAGCUGUGGAAUAUUCGUGAUGGGCUGGCUCAGUGUGAUGUCUGCCUAUGUCCCUUGUUAGCACCUUCUGUUCAUCUUAGUUAGGCCUGGUCUGCCCAUCAAAAUUUCUCCAGGGCUUACAGGUCAGAAGUAUAAACGGUUCUCUUCAAAUAGGACAUAGCACUGAAGAGUGACCAAGUUAAAAUUUUAUAAGAGGCUUUUCUCUAACAAGUAAUUGGCUUAAUAAAAUUAAAUUAAGCUGGCUUAAUCAGAAUAUGGAAUUAGUUGACUGUUACAAUGGAAAAGUGUAAGGGGUAAACUUCAACAUGGUGUGAUCAGAGACUCAAAUAACGGCAUCAGCACUCAAUUUCUCUUUCUCCAUCUCUUGGUUAUGUCCACCGGGUUCGCUUUGUCUCAGGCAGGCUUUUACCUUGAGGUGAUAAGAUGAUGUCAGAAGUUCUCCAUCCUAUAUCAUUCUGGGUUCAAAAGUAGAAAAGAAGUCUUUUCUCAUGACUCAUUAUAAUUAGGCAAAUUUGGUCAAAUGACAUCCCCUGAACCAAUCACUGUGACCAGGGGAACGGUAUUCCAAUACUUGGCUGGUCCUGGUCACACUCUCAACCCCUGAUGGAAGGAAGAUACCCACUUGCUGCUCGAGGACUGAGAACAGGAAGCAUCUGUAACAGGAAACCAGAAUGCAGCUACCAAAAGAAGUGGAAACGGAUGCUUAUUGGACAACCAAACAGCCCCAGGAGGCAACCCUAGUGCAACAGUUACAUGUAUCAGUUAGGACUUGUUCUAACACAAACAACAAAAAAACCUAACUCUAAUUGUCUUUAAAAAAAAUAAGAAAGGAAUUUAUUGGCUCCUAUUCAAAAACUUACACAGGAUUUGUUUUAAUUAGGUAUAGUAAGACACAUAGACACGGAAAUGAUUGUCAAGAAGGAAGUUUAUGCUCUCAGAUCCCUAGAAACAGGGGGCACGGCAUGCCAUGCAGGGCCACAUGGGGAAGGACCGAGGCUGGUCAGGAGGCAGGAAGGGGCAAGAGGGGAGAGGAUGGCCCAGAGGCUUUAUUAAAGUUUUCAUAGGAAGGAGUGGGCGAGGCAGGGUAAGGAUGCUGAGUAAGUUUAGGAUCGGAUAGUUUGAUUAAUUUCAGUAGGCUCUGGUCUAUGGGGGUGGUCUCUAGUUGCCUGGUACUUGGUCCUGGUGUGAUUUAGGGCAGGGGGGACUGUUGGCUUGGUGGGUGAGAGUUUGAUAAAGGAGAUGAUUUGGGAUGUGGGCUCUGGAUUGGUUAGUUGUAUAUCAAAGGCAUGCUCUGGGUGUGCGUGUUCCAGGAGGAGCAGAGGGAAGUCAUUUGCUAUCUCUAGUAAUUAGCUAGCCCUGGGAGAAGCAGUCUCUCCAGGAUCAAAGCCCCAAAUGCCAGAGCAUCAAGAAUACAGAAAAUAAGAAGGUAUAGUCAACACAGCUCCCAUAACUGAAAAGCCCAGGGAAAUAAAUUUUCCAGCAUAGCUAGAUAUGACCCAUAUGAGGUUAUCUCAGCAUUGAGCUCAGGCUCCACCUGGUGGCUCCUGGCAGUUCCAGACUCCAUCGUUCCCUCCUCCACCUCCCAGCCCGUGAUGCCUAAAGGACAGCAGCAGCUCUCUUCUACAUCCUUUCUGCUUCAAGUCCUGAAGAAAAGAAGGAGCUUCUUUCCUCCAAAAGCCAAACAAAGAUCCUGGUCCUCAUUCUUAUUGGCCAGGUUUGGACCAAUCACUGUGGCCAAGCGGAUGGGAAUCGCUUGUUGACUUAGGAAGAACCCCUAGUGCUCUAACCACAUAGAUAGAGAAAGAGGAGAGGUGGCUCUCCACGGGCACUCUGGCGUGCUGUUUUCCCAGAAGAAUGGGAAUGGAUGCUGGGAAACCUAAGCAGCAGCCGUCCACUACACAAUGAAUGUCAGAUAUGUUUAUCUCGGGGUAGCUAGUACCUUGUCAUUAUUGCUGACUUGUUUUAUAUAACUUUUGUUAACUUCUAUAUAAUUUCAUCCAGUGACAUUUGCUAUCAAGAAUUGUAGUAUUUAAAAAUGUCUCAAAUACUCAAAAGUUGAGAACCACUCUCCUAUAGUUAAAGUUGAUUAAUUGGUAGAGUUGAUCUCCCAACUACCCCUCACCAUCCUGCCCACAUACAUCUUUUAAUACUGUCUACAUAUGUCUAGUCUUUUGGUAUUUCAUUUGUUCUUCAAGAUUUCUCAAAUCACUGUCAGCAGUUCUGUGAUCAUGUCUGCAAAAUCCUUUAUUGCAUUACAAUGCAGUUUCUCUUGACAUUUGAAUUCUGCUAUCAUAGGCUUCAAUUUAAUCUUUAAGGUAUUUAUUUUACCAACAACCAUCCAUUCAUUGCAAAUAAUGUAGCAGCUACAAGACUUGAGGGGCAUACAGAUGGAUCCCCAUCUCCAGCUCCCAGGGAAUGUUCUGAUGGGUUUAACCCAAUCAGGGUAAUUCCAUCACCCUUAUAACAGUCAUUGGUUGAGGUAACCUAAACACAAGCCAGUUGCAUGGGACUGGCUAACCACUGGAAUUGGGUCAGGAAUGGCCCAGUGAGAGAAAAAAAUUUUGUUUGAUGAUUUAAAAAAUCCUAUUUCUUUCUUCCUCUGGUUGGUGUUUUGUCUCUACUUUCAUUGAAUUUACAGUGUAGUUUAGAGAUGAGAUAAAAGAUAUGAAAGGUUAAGUAAUUGCCCCUGACAUGCCCUCUGAAGGGUUCUCGCCCGCCCCUGGGGCUGCCUGCCCUGCUCCCAUGUCAGUUUAGAUGGUGCUCAUGGAGGAAACCUCCAGUAACUAUGGGAGACUAAUUUUUUCUCAAUUCCAAUACCAAUAUAUUUGAGCAAUGCAUUGAUACGUCUGUCUUCAGGAGCUCAUACAGCAGUAUGUGUGUGUGUAGCUAUAUAGCUAUAUCUUUGUUAGUCAUUUUAGUAUUGUGGAUCUAAGAAAAAUCAUAAUAAUUUAUUUUCAUUAGCAAUGUUGGAGGUUUUGACUCUAUAGAUAGAACUUUAGGAAAUAAUUAAGAAUGCGUGCAAAGAUUUAGCAGCUAAAGAUGCUCUUUAAAUUGUUUUCAGAAACAUUUUAUAAAUGAUUUCUAACAACGUUGCAAAAAGCAUCUUUAGUAGUUAAAUCUUUUUGUACAUAAUUAUUUCCUUAAGAUGUAAAUUCCCAGAAGCAGAAUUGCAUUAUAUGCACAUCUUUAAGGCCUUUGCUCCGGACUACAAGCGCCUGAGCCUUCUAAUUCAUUUUCUUGCCUCUGGUUUCUCUCUCCCUCCUUUCUGUCUUGUGUUGGUAAACUUCUCUCUGUAAAACACCGUGCUCAUCAUUUUGCUUUCUUGCUGGGGCCCGGUUCCUUAACUUGCCAUGUGAGGACUUUCACAGUCUGACUCUGCCCCAGAUUUCUAGUCUUUUCUGCUACCAUUCCCCUGUAUAAAAAAUCUUCCAUUUUAAUUAAAUUCAUCUACUCCCUGCCCCCCGUUAUGCCUGUAAUUUCCUGUCUUUGCACUUGUGUUCAUGCUGUUCCCACCUCCUGUAAGAAAGCAGGUGGGAACUGUGUAAUAAAGGAAAUGUCAGAAUCAGGAAUGAGUAAUUCAGUUUGUCACAACCCUCCAUAAACCUUUCUCCCACCUACUUUUCUCCAUUCCACCCAAACUGUUGAGUUGUCCUGGCUUUGGUGCUAAAAAUACCCAAGUGUAUGUGCUGAGCCCUCCCCCAUCCCUUCCCGUUCAGCCCUCCGCCUCCUCAGAGCUGAGGGCUGUUCCACCUGCCGCCUGGUGUUCCCACCUCUCUUCCUCUCUCAGGUCAAUGGCUGGGCUCAGCCUCCUUGUCGAAGCAGCCCUCACUUGUUCACUUCCAUCUCCACCAGACUCAUUGCUCCUCUGCCCUCCCUCUGUAGCUCUCCAUCUCUGGGUUCUGCCUUUUGCUGGGUGUUUCUAAUCGCCCCUGUUUCUGCUUUUACCAUUCUCUCUCUUUUUUUGGUCUGCUUUUCUUCUUUCAUUAUGUUUCCCAUCUCUUAGGUGGAGCCCUCUGAGUUCCUGCGUGAAGAGACAGGCCUUCACUGUGCCGAGAGCAUGCUUUCUGUCAUUUUCAAUAAUUGUCUUCUCAGAGCCCAUCAAAGCAGACCAUGCUUUUCCAUCCUUCUAGGCUCUUUUCGUUAUUGCUUUCCUUCCUUCUCGCUCCUUCCUUAUGGAUUCUACAGCUGUCUCUGAUGCUUGAAUGCCCUGGCCUCAGAAUAACAAAGACUCAAACCUCAGUGACAGAGUUCUCAUCCAACAAGGUGAACUGAGCGGAUGACAUAAAUUAACUAUGUGCAAAAGUUUUAAAGAGAGAAAAAACAUUACUUGCUUCAUAAGAUAUUUUCAGUCUCAGCUUUGGUUUCUAGAACACAUUAUCAAAGAAAGCAUACAGAAAUUCUUGAGUGUUAUUAGACCCAGGGCUAACUGAUUUAAAUAAGCUUAAAAGAAAAAGGCUUACAUAAAGCACAGCCAAAUUGUUCACAACUCUGGAAUUGCAGCAAUUGCUAAUGGUAAAGGGAGAUUUAGAAAUAAAAAGACAUAAUUUGGCUUUAGAAUUUAGGUCCAAUUAAAGGAGACAAAUACGUAAUUCUCAGACAGCAUAGACAAAUGGGUUUUAAAAAUGAUUUCCUUGGGGGUCAGACCUGUGGCACAGUGGUUAAGUGCUCAUGUUCCACUUCAGCAGCCCGGGGUUCACUGAUUCAGAUCCCGGGUGCGGACAUGGCACCACUUGUCAAGCCAUGCUGUGGUAGGCGUCCCACAUAUAAAGUAGAGGAAGAUGGGCAUGGGUGUUAGCUCAGAGCCAGUCUUCCUCAGCAAAAAGAGGAGGAUUGGCAGUAGUUAGCUCAGGGCUAAUCUUCCUCAAAUAAUAAUAAUAGUAAUAAUAAUUUCCUUAACUUUACUUGACUGUCUG
rnacentral:lncRNA from 1 species